GCGCGCGCCGUCGUUUACACGGUCCUCAAUUGCAGGCUGGACGGAUCCUUGCUGAGGAGAUUCUGCUGCGCAGCAGGAUAUGGUUGGGAUUAUCCGGACACCGAAUACAGAGACAUCCCGCUGUGUUUCCCGGAGGUUCUGUGCUCCAGACUCAUGCUCAUGUUGUUAACUGAUCGCAACUUUAGGCUCAACCCAGCAGGUUUGACUCGUGUGCAUCAGAGUUUGAAAACCUUUCUACCAAUCGAUGAGGUGAAGAAAGGUCCUUUUAUGCUGCAGGUCAGAAUCAAAGGAUAUCGGAAGACUGACUCAGGAGUCGAGGUGGGCGUCUGUUUGUCUGUUACAUCCCGUUCUGGAUGCCCUGUGUGGGAGAGCGUCCUAACUUUGCUGUCCAAAAACAGGCUCCAUAGACACUUACUGAGAAAAAAAGGCAAGUGUGACCAAUAUGACAGUUAGCUAUGACAGUUUUAUAUAAAAAUGAAAAAAAAAAACUGUCCUGUGUGUGUGAGGACAUUUGGAUGUUCUUGUUCUAGAAGAGCAACCAAAUGAUGAAGAAAACAUAAAGCGGGUGGAGGUCAGAGUUCCCAGGACUACCGGCCUGCAGUGCUUGUGGUCCUUCACCGACUACUCCCCACAUCGCCUCCUCUCUCUGCCAGCCAUGAUCUGUGGUCUAAAGACUCAAACAGCACCAAGGUUCUGGAUGAUGUCGGUCUGCUUGGCCGAAAUAGAAAAGCACAAAGGUGUUGAAAUCCUCACAGCUCCUACCAAUGUCACCGUUCAGUUUAAUGAGACUGAGCCAGAGUCA